ACCAAUUUUUAACAAGAAUGGUUGCCAACUCCUUCCCAUUCAGACACGUUUUCUCCUAAAUUCAAAACUGGCUUACAACGUCAUUAAACUGACUUUCAAGUUCCACAUACGGUGCUUGAAACCGGACUCCGCGGUCAAGCUCUUCAAAUUCCACCCGCGGAGGAGGGUCGGUACUGAGGCCAAACUCCUGAUCCAGGUUUUCUCGCAACCGGAAUUUCGGAGUCCUGGGCAAUCCGACCGAUAUCCGUGGUGGUCCAGACCCGGCAGCGCUUCCUGUCAUGCUCGGGUUCCUGCCUUCUUACUACCCCACCCCCAGACCACCCCAUAUCCGAUGCAGUUGCACGAAACUUUCCGUUGCCCUGCAAUGCAUCGGUGAAGGGGGCUUCAAGAGGGGAACAAAAAAGGAAUUUUGCGAGACGCCAUCUCCUCGAUAUUUUAUAUUUUUUUAACUUGGGCGCCAUAAUGUUACGGAACUGCUCUAUUUUCGACCGGGACAGCACCUACCAGCUCCGGAAUUUCUGAGGGCAGAGUACCACCCAGCCACCCAUCAUCCACGGUCGAAAUCACUUUUGGCGGUCUACGGCCGCCCCAUCUUCCCAACAGGGACAGCUCACUCACACAUUUCGGUUAUUACAGACUUUUAAAUAACACGUCUUCAAGACCAAAACUUGGCCGCCGUCUUCAAUUUUACGCGGUCAAAGCAGAGAAUACGUUUUCCACUGGAAAAGGCUACAGGCGCCGCGAAAUAAAAUGCUUUACCAUUAAUGCAAUGGUCGAGCUCGUAUAAAAACACGGUUCACAACAAGGGAUACCCGCGAUGCGCGAAUAGGGUCACCUAAUCCUGAGGAGCUCCAGGGGAAAAGCUAACGACGAGGACAACAAGGUUCUCGGUUCUAAUUCCGGAUAAAUUUACAAAUAAAACAAGAAAGGAAGUUAACUGUGGCAAACC